AUGUUGUUUUCUAUCAGUCCCAAGCGGAUACUCCCCAGCUUCCAUGGUCUGCUUACCGAGGAAGAGAUGCGGGAGGACCCAGGGCCAGAGCAAGUUGGGUUGGGGUAUAGAGCCGUAAGCGCGGUGGGGGUGACAGAGGAUGUGCUCGUACGGUUCAUAGUUGGGUAUGAUAUUCUUGUGGAUUGUUGGGAACGUCCUCUAUAUUCGAAAUAUGCCUUUCUAGGAGCAUUACGGUCUGCAGCUAUUUCCCCCCUUUUUGGUUUUCUAUUUCUUCAUCGGUUUUCUUCAGUUUUACCUUUUUCUACUUUACCGAUUUUCCAUGUUUCUUUCACGGUAUUCAUUGGUUUUUUAUUUUCUUUAUUUUUACUUCUUUUUUACUUCUUUCUUCCUUUCUUGGUUUUCACUGUUUUUUGCUUUUUCUUUCUUUCCUUCUUCGUUUCUUUCUUUCUUUCUUGA
rnacentral:rRNA from 1 species